rnacentral:sRNA from 1 species
GCUGGGUGUGAUGGCACACGCCUGUAAUCCCAGUGGCUUGGGAAGCUGAGGCAGGAGAAUCACAAGUUCAAAGCCGGCCUCAGUGAAAGUGAGACACUAAGCAACUCAGUGAGACCCUGUCUCUA